GGUUAUGUUGUCUCUUGUUCAUGAGUAAAGAAAUAUUAUAUGUAAUGGAUGUUGCUAUUCUCUGCUUCUAAAGAGUAAUCAUCCCCAUGGAAGGAGCAAUUUAUCAUGAUUACUCUAUUUGACUUGAGCUCCAACUUUGGAAGGAGUGGCAGCGUUGGUGCUAGAGAGAAGGAAAAGAGAGACGACAAAAAGCAAUUCUUCCAACUAGCUAGCCCACGUAGUUUCAAUUUAAGAUAACAAGGGGCCAUUUUGUUUGCCGGUUUAUAAUUUUAUGAAAUAUUGGUUUUUGAUGACAUUUGGAAGUAUACGUGCAAAUGAAGAUCAACUGUUGAAUUUUGUUUCCUGAACUGAUACUUAGUUGUAGUUGUAAAUUAAGAUUGAAUGUUGAUUUUUUUUUGUGGAUUCCACGUUAGUUCAUUUUGGGAUUUGCUUUGGUGGUUUUUUUGUUUUACUUAAUGGUUUAUAUUAUUAAAGUUGUUU